UGAUGGUCUAUCGUAGGGUGGUUUGUGUGAUGGUGUGUGAUGGUCUAUCGUAGGGUGGUUUGUGUGAUGGUGUGUGAUGGUCUAUUGUAGGGUGGUUUGUGUGUUGGUGUGUGAUGGUCUAUCGUAGGGUGGUUUGUGUGUUGGUGUGUGAUGGUCUAUUGUAGGGUGGUUAGUGUGUUGGUGUG